GCCCGGCCCCCUGGGCAGUAAUUCUUGCUGGGUUUCCCUGACAGGUGACUGCUCAGCCCAGAUGUCUCCAAUGGAAGGCACGGCCAAAACACUGCUAUUGGAACAAGAAGUGGAGCUUCAGGUUCUCCAUCUGGCAUCAGUGCCUGCCUGGCAUAACUGUGACAUGGAAAAGUAUGAGAGCACCUUGGAUUGUCACUGCAGUUGAAACCAAGAACAAGCAAUGCAAGACUGUUAUGGGUGCAUUGUAUCCCCAGUUUGCAUGUUGACAUCCUAACCACUAGAACCUCAGAAUGGGACUGUAUUUGGAGACAAGGUCUUUACACAGAUCAGAGCAACUUUCGUGGCAUCACCUGCUUCCACCAACUCUGCACCAGGAAAAAUCAGAUCAGCUACUUACUCAACAGGACCUCUGACAUUGUUUCCUGUGGAUAGAGCCCCCUGAGGUCUUCACUGCAAUAGAGAUAGGAACCACUGAGAAUGAAUCUGGGUCCUGGUAAGAACACUCCUUUGGUGCCCCCAGCAAGGAGCCCCACUAAAAAUCUUUGUAUGUGAUUCAUAGUCCUUGUCAUAGAAUGGUGCCCUGCAACCUCUUUUCUAUUGCUGAAUA